rnacentral:ncRNA from 1 species
AACCGGGGAGCUUGCGGCAAGCAGGCUGAGAGUAGACUGUAUCGUCUUGACCCAUGAACCUGAUAUGGAUAAUGCCAGCGUAGGGAAAAUAUU